rnacentral:rRNA from 1 species
UUACCGAGUGCAGGUCUGCCCCCGGGCAGGCCUAACCUCCCACCCGUGAAUACCUGACCAACGUUGCUUCGGCGGUGCGCCCCCCCCCCCCGGGGGUAGCCGCCGGAGACCACACCGAACCUCCUGUCUUUAGUGUUGUCUGAGCUUGAUAGCAAACCUAUUAAAACUUUCAACAAUGGAUCUCUUGGUUCCGGCAUCGAUGAAGAACGCAGCGAACUGCGAUAAGUAAUGUGAAUUGCAGAAUUCAGUGAAUCAUCGAGUCUUUGAACGCACAUUGCGCCCCCUGGCAUUCCGGGGGGCAUGCCUGUCCGAGCGUCAUUGCUGCCCUUCAAGCCCGGCUUGUGUGUUGGGUCGUCGUCCCCCCCGGGGGACGGGCCCGAAAGGCAGCGGCGGCACCGCGUCCGGUCCUCGAGCGUAUGGGGCUUUGUCACCCGCUCGAUUAGGGCCGGCCGGGCGCCAGCCGGCGUCUCCAACCUUCUAUUUUACCAGGUUGACCUCGGAUCAGGUAGGGAUACCCGC